ACAGGGGGAGGGGAGGAGAGCACAACAAACACCGUUUUCAAUAAAUUAGCAUCUUAAGCAGACACUAGCAGAGCCAACCCCUAAGGAGUCUGUGGUGGGUACAGAGCACAUGCCCAUCUUCGAGGGACAGGUCAGGACGGUGCCCUUGGCAUGAACGGUGGGCAUUGCUGGCCCUCAAUGCCUACCUUCUCAGGUAAGAACCAAGCCACAUCUACAGGGCUGCAGGCUGGCUCGUGGACUGUUGUACCAGCUCAUCGGCAGAGAGAGCCUUUCGCAUGGUGGAUCUGUCCUCUCAGCAGCACAUGUGAAGACCCCUGAGACCUUGAGCCUCACCAGGUAUCGUCAGGCACCAUGGCAGAGGUAAGGCAGCCUCAUCUUAAAUCACAAAAUGUUUCCACCUGUCCACUGACUGACCCAGCAGCUGGGGCAGGCUGUCAUUUCAAGUUCAGUUAUGCACUGACUUUGUUGAAAGAUUUUGGGGGAAAUUAUUAUUUUAUUUAUAAACUUGGAGUUGUAUAUGAAUUUUGAACUAUUAAUAUUUCUGUUUGACUUUUGGAUGAGAUGUUACUUCAAAGAUGUUCAUAGCUCAAGGCCCCUCUCGGAGGAGCCUUCCCUCUGCCUCUCUCAUUUGUCCAGGCCAAUAAAAUGCAAUUCAUUCAAAGGA
rnacentral:lncRNA from 1 species